rnacentral:rRNA from 1 species
AUGAACGCUGGCGGCGUGCCUAAUACCUGCAAGUCGAGCGAACAGACGAGGAGCUUGCUCCUCUGACGUUAGCGGCGGACGGGUGAGUAACACGUGGAUAACCUACCUAUAAGACUGGGAUAACUUCGGGAAACCGGAGCUAAUACCGGAUAAUAUAUUGAACCGCAUGGUUCAAUAGUGAAAGACGGUUUUGCUGUCACUUAUAGAUGGAUCCGCGCCGCAUUAGCUAGUUGGUAAGGUAACGGCUUACCAAGGCGACGAUGCGUAGCCGACCUGAGAGGGUGAUCGGCCACACUGGAACUGAGACACGGCCCAGACUCCUACGGGAGGCAGCAGUAGGGAAUCUUCCGCAAUGGGCGAAAGCCUGACGGAGCAACGCCGCGUGAGUGAUGAAGGUCUUCGGAUCGUAAAACUCUGUUAUUAGGGAAGAACAAAUGUGUAAGUAACUAUGCACGUCUUGACGGUACCUAAUCAGAAAGCCACGGCUAACUACGUG